AGUGAACGCUGGCGGUAGGCCUAACACAUGCAAGUCGAACGGCAGCACAGUAAGAGCUUGCUCUUACGGGUGGCGAGUGGCGGACGGGUGAGGAAUACAUCGGCAUCUACUUUUUCGUGGGGGAUAACGUAGGGAAACUUACGCUAAUACCGCAUACGACCUACGGGUGAAAGCAGAAGAUCUUCGGACCUUGCGCGAUUGAAUGAGCCGAUGUCGGAUUAGCUAGUUGGCGGGGUAAAGGCCCACCAAGGCGACGAUCCGUAGCUGGUCUGAGAGGAUGAUCAGCCACACUGGAACUGAGACACGGUCCAGACUCCUACGGGAGGCAGCAGUGGGGAAUAUUGGACAAUGGGCGCAAGCCUGAUCCAGCCAUACCGCGUGGGUGAAGAAGGCCUUCGGGUUGUAAAGCCCUUUUGUUGGGAAAGAAAAGCAGCAGGUUAAUACCCCGCUGUUCUGACGGUACCCAAAGAAUAAGCACCGGCUAACUUCGUG
rnacentral:rRNA from 1 species